UGAGGUUCCGAAGGACGGCGCGCCUCGGGCCAGCCAAGGGCCAGUGUGAGCUAAGGAGGAAAAUGCCAGGCCAGCCCACCAGAAACGCGAAACUGAAGGCCUGUGGGGGCCCGUCUGCUUCUGCGGCAUUCAGUCUUCAAACAUUUGCUCAGCCUGUUCCGUGUUCACUCUGGAAAUGUGAGCCUUUGCCGUUGGAAGGAGCAGUGCUUUCCACCUCAUCUUUAACUUUUCACUUAUUAGGGUGAUCAUCAGUGUGUUGUGAGGAGGAAAAAAUUCAUUUCAGGAGAUUGGAGCUGGUGGACUGUGAGUUAAAGGAAUUGCAAUGAAAUGUAAAUACAGGAGAACUGUCACCAAGCUCAAAAUGAAGAACAAAGGAGGACGGGGGAGGGGCCACUUUCACCUUGGCAUUGAAGACGCCCGUCUCUCUGCACCUGUUCCACCUGCCGCCUGGCUGGGAUCCACUCCUUUACUGUUUGCUGUUUCUGCACGGCCCCGAGGAGCCAUUCCUGAGAAGUAGCACUUAGCUUUGCAGGAAGCCAGUUUCCGCACAGAUAGGAGCCGUGGAAUGCCUGCCACAAACUUUCCUGCCAACAGAUGCGUUUUGACAGUGGUUCAUGGACCCUUGUCAUCCCAGCAUGGAGAAAAGAUAGAGGACACGUGGGCAAAUCCCUAUCGCUCAGCUAACCUGGGGACAUUCCAUGACCCUGCAAAAUUGGAGCUUCCCAUACAGCAACUCUUUGAAGUUGAGAUCAAGUCCUUAGUUCCCUUGGCCCAAGCAUGUCAAACUCACGGCCCGCGGGCCGCAUGUGGCCCGCAACGAAUUUUUUUUUCG